rnacentral:lncRNA from 1 species
AACACAAGUUCGAGGCCAUCCUUAGCAAUUUAGCAAGUCCUGUCUCAAAAAGGACAAAUUAACUUAAAAAAUGUUCUUCCAACAGUGAUUCAAUAACAUCACCUUUGAAUACAGGGCAAGGUCAUUGAUCAAUGGGCAUGUUUUUAUGUCAGCUCAGUGUCUUUAAUUAAUGAAAGAAAAACAUCAAGAUAUUGAAUUAAUUUAUUAUAAAUCAAAUCUGAUGAGAAUUUUGAGUUUUUCCCUACCCUUAUUAUUAAUUAGUUAAGUCAAGAUUGACAAUCUGCAAAAUCGCAAUGGCUUUAAAUAUUAUUUCUCACCAAUAAAAUAAAAAGAACUGGGAAUGUGAUUCAGUAGCAAAGCACUCUUGGGUUCAAUACCCAGUACCCUCCACACUAAAAAAGAGGUGAAUCUAGUUGCCUUGAGGAAAGAUCCUGCAACAUGAUGGCAAUAAGUACAGAGUGAUUUCCCUAUUUCUCCUAAAAAGGCCCAUGGUCAUUUACUGAACAUGAGGAAUUAGGAGAAUACCUGAAGCUCCAUCAUUUCCCCUUUCUGUUUCCCCCUUUGUUUUCUUAGAGGGUCAGAUAAUAAAUGGAGUCCUACCCCAGGUUUAUAUCCCAUUAGAUCCCCUGGGUGCACAUUUGAUGGUGUUUUUCUAGGUUUCUUGGUAUGUGAGUAGAAUGGACGAGCUUACAUUGUAGAGCCUUCAUCUUGGUACCUACACCUGUAGAUUAAGAGCUAUUGUAGUAGAAAAGUAAUCCCUUGGUUAGCAUCUUUAUGCUUGAAAGUCUUCACAAGAAAAAGGCUAGGAAUAUGGUGGGAUGUGGCAGAAGCCCUUGAAACUACCCCAACCAAGUCAAAUUAGUUAAGCAAAAAUUGUAUUUCAUCUUGGGAAUGGCAGACUAGUGCUAUCUUUACAUAUUUAAUAGAUGGAAGGGAGUAAGUGGUCUCUUUUGUGUUUCCAUUUGAUUUUCCAGUCAUGUCCCUAUAAACCAAGCUCAUGGAUCAUGCAGAUGACAGUAGACUACAACAAACUUGACCAAGUAUUAACCCCAAUUACAGCUGUUGUCCCAUGUGAGAGGUGUCCUUAGGACUGAUUAACACCUUCAGAUAUGUAGUAUGUGGUUAUUGAUCUGGUGAAUGCAUUUUUUAAUAUCCACAAGGAAAAACUGAUCAGAAAUAGUGACAUUUCUGUGAGAUCGAUGAUAGUAUAUAUUUACCUCCAUACCUCAAGGUUAUGUUAAUUAUUGUCCUAAGGGCCCUGAAUUGUCUGAACAUUCUGUAGAAUAUCAC